CCCUUAGAUGUUCUGGGCCGCACGCGCGCUACACUGAUGCAUUCAACGAGUUUCUUCCUGGUCCGAGAGGAGCGGGUAACCUUAGCAAAGCACAUCGUGAUGGGGAUAGAUUAUUGCAAUUAUUAGUCUUGAACGAGGAAUUCCUAGUAAGCACAAGUCAUCAGCUUGUGUUGAUUACGUCCCUGCCCUUUGUACACACCGCCCGUCGCUCCUACCGAUUGAAUGUUCCGGUGAGCUCUUCGGACUGCGCGGUCUGCAGUUUCUGCGUUCCGUGCGGAAAGUUGUGCAAACCUUAACAUUUAGAGGAAGGAGAAGUCGUAACA
rnacentral:rRNA from 1 species